GAUGAAGAACGUAGCGAAAUGCGAUAAGUAAUGUGAAUUGCAGAAUUCAGUGAAUCAUCGAAUCUUUGAACGCACAUUGCGCCCCUUGGUAUUCCGAGGGGCAUGCCUGUUCGAGCGUCAUUAUAACCCCUCAAGCUUAGCUUGGUGUUGGGGCUUGCUGUAAUAGAGCAGCCCUUAAAAUCAGUGGCGGUGCCAUUAGGCUCUAAGCGUAGUAAUUCUUCUCGCUAUAGGGUUCUGGUGGAUGCUUGCCAUUAACCUCUAAUUUUCUAUGGUUGACCUCGGAUCAGGUAGGGAUACCCGCUGAACUUAAGCAUAUCAAUAUGCGGAGGA
rnacentral:misc_RNA from 1 species